rnacentral:rRNA from 1 species
CCUACGGGGGGCAGCAGUGGGGGGUAUUGCACAAUGGGGGGAACCCUGAUGCAGCGACGCCGCGUGGGUGAAGGAGCGUUUCGGCGCGUAAAGCCCUAUCGGCAGGGAAGAAGGAGGACGGUACCUGACUAGGAAGCCACGGCUAACUACGUGCCAGCAGCCGCGGUAAAACGUAGGGGGCAAGCGUUAACCGGAUGUCCUGGGUGGAAAGGGGGGGCAGACGGCAGCGCAAGCCAGGAGUGAAUGCCCGGGGCCCAACCCCGGGACUGCUUUGGAACGUGGGGGGGUGGAGUGCAGGAGGGGGAGGCGGAAUUCCUGGUGUAGCGGUGAAAUGCGUAGAUAUCAGGAGGAACACCGGUGGCGAAGGCGGCCGCCUGGACUACGACUGACGUUGAGGCCCGAAAGCGUGGGGAGCAAACAGGAUUAGAUACCCUAGUAGUC